AACUGCUGGGGUGCCAUUUAUGGCUGAGAUUAUACCCGUUGAACCUGAUACGGUUAGUACCGUCGAAGGGAAAUGCG
rnacentral:ncRNA from 1 species